GCCAACUUUUUGUUAGUAAAGAGACACAAAGAACCUAUUAUAGAUUCAAGACAGAGCUGUGAAUCUUACAUUUCCUACUGGAAGGACUCAACCAUGAGGCAAAUCCUAUUAAUGCUCACUUUGAACCUUCUCACAUGUCUAUGUCAGGAGGUCACGGUAACUCAAGACCAAAAACUUGUAGUACUGAAAGUCAACAAGUCCAUACAUCUCCGUUGUGAACAUAGUGACAAAACUGGAACUUUUACAAUGCUCUGGUACCAGCAACUAUCAGGGAAGGGUCUGGAGCUCAUAGCCAUGUCAUCUUCUGUAAAUGACUCCACCAUAGAAACAAAGUUCAAAGACAUAUGGAGUCUGGAGCGCCCUGACGUUAAGGGAUCUGUCCUCAAGCGUGAUAAAGCAACCUCUCAGGACUCGGCUGUGUAUUUCUGUGCAUCCAGUGAUCACAGCCACAAAAAGUUGAGCGGCAGCCAACAUAAAACCAUAGUAUUUAUGGCAAAGGAAACAGCGGAGAGAACAGACCUCUAGGGGGCGCUGUUUUUUCAUAAUUUAGUAUGUACACUUUUAU